rnacentral:rRNA from 1 species
GCCCAGACUCCUACGGGAGGCAGCAGUGGGGAAUAUUGCACAAUGGGGGAAACCCUGAUGCAGCGACGCCGCGUGGGUGACGAAGUAUUUCGGUAUGUAAAGCCCUAUCAGCAGGGAAGAAGAUGACAGUACCUGACUAAGAAGCCCCGGCUAACUACGUGCCAGCAGCCGCGGUAAUACGUAGGGGGCAAGCGUUAUCCGGAUUUACUGGGUGUAAAGGGAGCGCAGACGGCAAUGCAAGCCUGGAGUGAAAGGCGGGGGCCCAACCCCCGGACUGCUCUGGGAACUGUAUAGCUAGAGUGCAGGAGAGGCAAGUGGAAUUCCUAGUGUAGCGGUGAAAUGCGUAGAUAUUAGGAGGAACACCGGUGGCGAAGGCGGCUUACUGGACUGUAACUGACGUUGAGGCUCGAAAGCGUGGGGAGCAAACAGGAUUAGAUACCCGAGUA